GUUUAUGUAAGAAUUUCAAGGCCACAACUCCAUAUUUGAAGUAAAGUGCUCAUAAAAUUAAUUGCAAGGAAAUCCAUCACUAUGAUUCAACUUCUGAAGAGAGAUUUGCUAGGAAAAAUAAAAAGAUAUAUAAAUUUCAGUGAUGCUGAAGGUUUUGAGAAGCCAUCUGCAGCUCACAACUAGAUGAGUGACACAAUCAGAUGUGCGUAUGCAAAAAAAAGCCUGGAGACAUUGAACUAAGAUCAAAUUUAAUGUAUUAAAUAUGGUAGAAAGAAGAGAGAAUGAAAAAUAAUGUUAACAAUCUAGGUGAGGAAUUGCUGAGGAGACAAAUUAAGUAAAUCCUGUGGAAGGAAAGAAGAAAGGAGGAAAGAGGAUUGGAUGGAAGAAUCUCCACUUCUCAUAGGUGUAGUCCUUCCUUAGCCUGCUUUUUAAUGAGUGCUGCUAAAGCCCUUAGCCUGCCUGUUUACCCUUGGAGUGGAGCAAUGAACUGAAGAUAUUUGAGUGAGUUCAAGAGAGACUCAGAAGAGAAGAAUUGGAGGCAGCAAACAUAGACAGCACUUUUAAUGCUUUUCUCAUAUGCUGUAAGACAUGAAAGCAAUCUAUUGGGAUGAAAGCUGAAAGGAGAAGCGGGACAAGAGAAGUGAAUCCGUGGAAGACCCCCAAAAGAGGCUGCAGAUUCUUAGUGGACAGCUCUCAUAUCCCCUCCAGGGAAAAUGAUGAAAAAUGUCUUCAGAAAAAUAGCUUUAUGAAGGCAAGAGGACUUUUUGCACCUGCAAGACAUGUCUGAAAGCUCCUCAGGUCAAAACACAAGUAGUCAAGAGAUUUGUCCAUCUAAUUCAUCAUACUACUCUGAUCCAAGUGAGACCCACACUGGGUCAGCUCCAUCAAGGAGAAGAACAUUCCACCCACGUUUGGAUUCUGGAAUAUCAUCCUUGCUUCCAUCAGAUUCUUGUAAGUACCUCACUUGGCACAAGGUAGACAUGACGUUCAAGGAAGUCAACUGCGUUGCCCAAGAGUAAGAGAAGGAAUCUCUGAAGAAGAGCAACUUUUCAGACAGGUAGAGUGUGCCUUGCUCCCAAGGAAAAGAGUUCUUGAAAAAAACAAAUGGGAAACAUGGCUACAAGAAAACUGGGAAGACUGCAAGAAUUUGAACAUUUCAUUUCAGGGUUUGGGGGAUCCUUACCAAGUUGAAAAUUUUAACAGAAUUCUUAGAAGACUAAUUCGAGUUGAAACCCUCUGGUUAGUGGAUAAUUCACUGGUGGACUUAAGUGCCAUAAGAUUGCCAAGAGUAUUCUCCUGUUUGCCAAACUUAAAAAUGCUGGAUGGAAUCUUGAAGCUACCAGAAGAUUGCUUAUCACCAGAAACCAAUAUUUUUUCAAAAAUAUGCCUUGUAUCCUAAUGCAGUCUGUAUAGAAAGAAAGCAAUCAUCAUUGUUGCUAAAAGCUAAUAAACACAGGACAUGCAUGAUUAAA
ensembl:lncRNA LRRC77P leucine rich repeat containing 77, pseudogene